rnacentral:rRNA from 1 species
AUUGAACGCUGGCGGCAGGCCUAACACAUGCAAGUCGAACGUUAACAGGAAGAAGCUUGCUUCUUUGCUGACGAGUGGCGGACGGGUGAGUAAUGUCUGGGAAACUGCCUGAUGGAGGGGGAUAACUACUGGAAACGGUAGCUAAUACCGCAUAACGUCGCAAGACCAAAGAGGGGGACCUUCGGGCCUUUUGCCAUCGGAUGUGCCCAGAUGGGAUUUGCUAGUAGGUGGGGUAACGGCUCACCUAGGCGACGAUCCCUAGCUGGUCUGAGAGGAUGACCAGCCACACUGGAACUGAGACACGGUCCAGACUCCUACGGGAGGCAGCAGUGGGGAAUAUUGCACAAUGGGCGCAAGCCUGAUGCAGCCAUGCCGCGUGUAUGAAGAAGGCCUUCGGGUUGUAAAGUACUUUCAGCGGGGAGGAAGGGAGUAAAGUUAAUACCUUUGCUCAUUGACGUUACCCGCAGAAGAAGCACCGGCUAACUCCGUG